UACGAAGGGGGCUAGCGUUGCUCGGAAUCACUGGGCGUAAAGGGUGCGUAGGCGGGUUUUUAAGUCAGGGGUGAAAUCCUGGAGCUCAACUCCAGAACUGCCUUUGAUACUGAAGAUCUUGAGUUCGGGAGAGGGAUGCGGAAUUCCAGGUGUAGCGGUGAAAUGCGUAGAUAUCUGGAGGAACACCGGUGGCGAAGGCGGCAUCCUGGACCGACACUGACGCUGAGGAGCGAAAGCCAGGGGAGCAAACGGG
rnacentral:rRNA from 1 species